UCAGUCAUUCCGCGUGAAUGACGAAGGCCUUCGGGUUGUAAAGUCGCUUUCGUACGGAAAGAAAAGCUCUGAUCUAAUACCUCAUGAUGAUGACGGUACCUGUGAUAAUAAGCACCGGCUAACUACGUGCCAGCAGCCGCGGUAAUACGUAGGGUGCGAGCGUUAAUCGGAAUUACUGGGCGUAAAGCGUGCGCAGGCGGUUAUGUAAGACAGAUGUGAAAUCCCCGGGCUCAACCUGGGAACUGCCUUCGAGACUGCAUAGCUAGAGUGUGUCAGAGGGGGAUGGAAUUCCACGUGUAGCAGUGAAAUGCGUAGAUAUGCGGAGGAAUCACCGAUGGCGAAGGCAGUCCCCUGGGAUCUGACUGACGCUCAUGCACGAAAGCGUGGGGAGCAAACAGG
rnacentral:rRNA from 1 species